AGCUAGGGAAAGGAACUGUGUUGGAUAUACCCAUCAUUGGUGUUCGAUAAGACAUAAUGUUGGUUGAAACGGCAUAGUAUUUGUCUAUGCAGACACGAUGAGGUUGUUGACAUCCAUGACCAUUUCUAAUGAGAGAACAUAUCUGUGUGACCACUCCGGUGGUGUUAGAGAAUGGAAUUUUCAUUUUUCUUGCAAAGGUUGUUGGGCUGUAGCAAGACAAUAACCGAUGGUACUUCGCUUGCAAGUGCCACAAAAUGGUCACAUUUGUGAUGAUCUAUCUUAUUGUGAUUGAUGCUUUAAACAUGUCGUGGAUGUUUCUCCAAGGUACAAGAUGAAGCUCCAAGUUUUUAAUGGAUCUAACUUUGCUAAUUUGAUUAUGUUUGACUCGGAUGCACAACAACUUGUCAAGAAAUAGUGCAAGGACAUGUUGGCUGAGGUGAAGAUAACAACCUUCGCGAUAAAAAACGGUAAACGUUGCAGAUCCAGUAUCAUCAGCAACAUUAAGCAACAAUUUGUACCUGAUGUAAACAUUAAUAAUUAAAUAAACUGAAU